rnacentral:rRNA from 1 species
AACGAUGAAGAGCAGCUUGCUGCUCGGAUUAGUGGCGCACGGGUGAGUAAUGCAUAGAUAAUGUGCCCCUUAGUUCGGGAUAGCCACUGGAAACGGUGAUUAAUACCGGAUACUCCUUCUUGUCUCAAGGCAAGUCGGGAAAGUUUUUCGCUAAGGGAUCAGUCUAUGUCCUAUCAGCUAGUUGGUGAGGUAAUGGCUCACCAAGGCUAUGACAGGUAUCUGGUUUGAGAGGAUGAUCAGACACACUGGAACUGAGACACGGUCCAGACUCCUACGGGAGGCAGCAGUGAGGAAUAUUGCACAAUGGAGGAAACUCUGAUGCAGCAACGCCGCGUGGAGGAUGACGCAUUUCGGUGUGUAAACUCCUUUUAUUAGGGAAGAUAAUGACGGUACCUAAUGAAUAAGCACCGGCUAACUCCGUGCCAGCAGCCGCGGUAAUACGGAGGGUGCAAGCGUUACUCGGAAUCACUGGGCGUAAAGGGUGCGUAGGCUGGCUUUUAAGUCAGGUGUGAAAUCCAAUGGCUCAACCAUUGAACUGCACUUGAAACUGGGAGCCUAGAGUUCAGAAGGGGCAGAUGGAAUUAGUGGUGUAGGGGUAAAAUCCGUAGAUAUCACUAGGAAUAUCAAAAGCGAAGGCGAUCUGCUGGGAUGAUACUGACGCUGAGGCACGAAAGCGUGGGGAGCAGACAGGAUUAGAUACCCUGGUAGUCCACGCCCUAAACGAUGAAUGCUAGUCGUCGGGAAGCUCGUCUUUUCGGUGACGCACUUAACAGAUUAAGCAUUCCGCCUGGGGAGUACGGU